CCGUUGGUGAACCAGCGGAGGGAUCAUUAAUGAGUUGCAAAACUCCAACCCUUGCGUACCUAACCGUCGUCGUUGCUUCGGCGGGCCCGCCCGCCGGAGGUCACAAACAACUCUGUAUCUCCAGUAUCUCUGAGCACAUACAAAAAAAUAAUCAAAACUUUCAACAACGGAUCUCUUGGCUCUGGCAUCGAUGAAGAACGCAGCGAAAUGCGAUAAGUAAUGUGAAUUGCAGAAUUCAGUGAAUCAUCGAAUCUUUGAACGCACAUUGCGCCCGCCGGUAUUCCGGCGGGCACGCCUGUCCGAGCGUCAUUUCAACCCUCAAGCCCAGGCUUGGUGUUGGGGCGCCCGGGUCCCUCGUCGGGCCCGGGGCCCCCAAGUCCAUCGGCGGUCGCGUCUGGACCCUGAGCGCAGUAACUCGCGGUAAAACGCAGCCUCGCUCGGCCCGUCCCGUCGCGCUCCUGCCGCUAAACCCCCCAAAAAUCACAAGGUGACC
rnacentral:rRNA from 1 species